UAUAUUUAACAUUUAUAAAUCUCGGCCCAUGUUGGGCUCCAUGCUUUGCAUGAAACUUACUUAAAAAAAACAAAUAACAUUUAUAAAUCUUUAUAAUAUUUUCAGAUUCUAACAUCUAUGUUGUUAUUAAUUGUAUUUACUGUUUAUUUUCUAUUUUCCUCUGCCAAACUGUAAAUUCCUUGAAAUCAGGUAUCUUUAUCUGUUUUAUUCACUUCUAUAUCACAAGUGCCUAGAAGAAUGCCUAGUAUAGGUUUAAUCAACAUGUUUUUAGUAAGUAAAUGAAUUAAUAGAUGAAUCAAUGGGCAUCUUUGACUUGUUUGUCAUUUUAAAGUAAAAGAUUUUAAUACUUCUCCACUAAGAAUAUUUGUUGUAAGGUUUUGGUAAUAAAUGUUUAUCAGCUUAAGAAAAUUAAUUUCUACCUAUGUUUUGAAUCAACUUGGCCUGUGUUUUUCUUUCUUUACAGUCAUUCUCUGAUUUUGCUCUUUUGAAGUUAAUGGAGAAUGGUCAACAUUUUUACUUUCUGGAAGACUUUUAUAAUGAUGGAAAGACAUAUUUCUUUAAAGUUGCAUAGAACCCUCCCCCCAAACUAUAUGAUGCUAGAGCAAAGAGUUUUUUUCUGGCUGGUAAACACAGAAGUUGGAGAGGACCACUCCGCCUGGCCUUGAGGACAUGAAUUACCAGGUGUUGAACUGUCCAAGAGGAUCAUGUGUCAAGGAACAAUGUGUGGUCUCUAGGACCUCAGAGUAACCCCCAGAACAGCUAACAAGAAGGCAGAGACCUCCCUCCCAUACCUCCAAGGAGGCAAAUUGUGCCAAAACCAAAGUGGGCUCAGAGACAGGUAUUUUCUGAGUCAAGCUUCCAGAUGAGAACACAGGUUGGUUGAUACCUUGAUGUCAGCUUUGGAGACCCUGAGCAUAGAACCCAGCUAACUAACAGUCCUAACUCACAGAAACCAUGAGAUAAUAAGUUAGUGUUGUUUUAAGUUGUUACAUAUAUAGUAAUUUGUUCCACAGAGACUGAAAACUAAUACAGUUGGAUAAGUGGUGUUUUCUUUACAUUCUUUGCCAAGACUUCAACAAAUUCUACUUUUGCUUCUUUUAAAUUCAUCACAUAACAUGGUAAGCCUUAAGGCAUGGGUAAGAAGGAGUUUUAUUUGGACUACACACAAAAUAAUAUGUUGAUUAUUCAUCACAGUGAUGUUUUAGUAGAUAUUUUAGUAUAUUUCUUGACAUAAAAUAUGUUCCCAAUAUAUUGUUAAUAAAACAAGUUUUGAAACGUGUUCA
rnacentral:lncRNA from 1 species